CCCUUAGAUGUUCUGGGCUGCACGCGCGCUACACUGAAGCGUUCAACGAGUAUUCACCUUGCCCGGGAGGGUUGGGUAAUCUUUUGAAAACGCUUCGUGAUGGGGAUAGAUUAUUGCAAUUAUUAAUCUUCAACGAGGAAUUCCUAGUAAGCGCGAGUCAUCAGCUCGUGCUGAUUACGUCCCUGCCCUUUGUACACACCGCCCGUCGCUACUACCGAUUGAAUGGUUUAGUGAGGACUCCUGAUUGGCGCCGCCGCCCCGGCAACGGAGCAGCGGACUGCCGAAAAGUUGUUCAAACUUGAUCAUUUAGAGGAAGUAAAAGUCGUAACA
rnacentral:rRNA from 1 species